rnacentral:rRNA from 1 species
AACAAACGCUGGCGGCGUGCCUAAUACAUGCAAGUCGAACGGGGAAAGCUUUCGGGUGAGUACCAGUGGCGCACGGGUGAGUAACGCGUGGGUAAUCUGCCUUAGAGUGGGGGAUAACUGAUCGAAAGAUCAGCUAAUACCGCAUAAGACCACAGGAUCUGCGGAUCCCGAGGUAAAAGGUUUUUCGCUCUAAGAUGAGCCCGCGUAAGAUUAGCUAGUUGGUGAGGUAAUGGCUCACCAAGGCAACGAUCUUUAGCUGGUCUGAGAGGAUGAUCAGCCACACUGGAACUGAGACACGGUCCAGACUCCUACGGGAGGCAGCAGUAGGGAAUAUUGCACAAUGGAGGAAACUCUGAUGCAGCGACGCCGCGUGAGUGAUGAAGGCCUUCGGGUUGUAAAGCUCUGUCGUACGGGAAUAAUACAGUGAAUGUACCGUGCAAGAAAGGAUCGGCUAACUUCGUG